GUUCAAAAAUUCAAAUGGCCUUGAUCAUAGUUCCACAGGCAAUCUAUUGAAUGCUCUUUAAAGGGUGGUGGAUAAUGUUGGCAUACGUGCAGUAUCGGGUAGACAGCCAGCAGUGAAUACGGCUUUCCAGGGCAACAAGUUUUUGUAGUACGUACAUAUGAUAUGGGUCAUGGGUGGCAGCUAAAAGUAGUUAACCGACAGCAAUCCUUAAAGGCUUAAAGGCGUACCUGAUCAGGCUUCCUCUAAUCAAUUACUAAAAAACUAUCCAUGGACGAGCUAAUAGCCAUUGGAGACGAUUCAAACAAAAGUUCACUUGAUAUGAACCUAAAUCUAAUGAAUAUCACAUCGGAUGAUGAUGGACUUGAAAGUCUUAAAUCACUUGGUGGCGGUGGUCCUAGUAGAGAUGCUGUCCCCAAUGCAGAAGGUGCUCUUGUGGUUGAGGAGGUCCAGGAGAAUAAUCCUCAAAAGCAUGCUUAUGAAAUGAAGCCGAGGAAGAAGACUUCUCCAAUUUGAAAGGGCUUUAAGGAAGUAGUGUAAUCUGGCCGGUGUUAAAAAAGCUCAAUGCAUUCACUGUAAAUCCAUCAUUGGAAUUCCUACUUCGAGUACCACAACUCAGUUUCAUAGGCACUUGAAUAGCUGUAUUCUAGGCAUAGCAGCUAACAAGAAGCAGAAGGUGCUUACAUUUGAUUCUAAGGGUGGCAGUGUAAGCUCCAGUACAAAUUUUUCUUAAGAUCAUAAGAAGGUAAGAGGGUUUGUUUCUCA